CCGACGUAGGGGGGUUCCAGGAAUGUACUGCAGCAAGCAGAGGGGCCAGAUUGGUGGUGGAAGGUUGUUGACUCAGGAACUCCAUUGUCUCAUGGAUCUGGAGGAAGCACAGCCAACUGAAAUCUAUUACCUCCAUUCUCUCCAGAAGACCCCCAGUGCUUACAAACGCCACAUGUGGGCUGCCGGCAUCUCUUCAGAGAUACUGGCAGGCAGUGGCAAGACUGGGAAAAGCAAGCUCAAGCAGUAUUUCCCUACCCCUUACAAUUUGAAGUGACAGCCCUUGUUGGGGAAGGGCAGAGAGAUUUGGUCACGUGCCUUGUGGUGUUGCAGUACUUUUCUGUGAUUCAAAUGAGGAUGUAAGAAAUUGGAGGACUCCUCAAGUGGCCUAUGCUGAACUGAAAAAGGAAAAUGUUUUGCUACAACAACAGUGCAGGCACCUGGAUCAACCGUGAGGAUCCAGCCAAGCCUUACACAUGGGUUCUGUUGCUGCACAUCAAGGCCAUUGUUCUUCCACCAAUGAAAACAAGAGUUUCCACCAGUUUUCCCAGACAAAAUUCCCUGGAGGAAGAGGGAUACUAACUAAAGACAUGUUUAUUAAGAUGGAUGAAGAGCAACCCUCCAACACCUGCAAAAC